UCUUCCAUAGUCUAGUGGUCAUGAUAUCCGCUUGUCAUGGUGUCGGCACGAUCCAAUCGACCGAGUCGACCAAUGACGAUCCGCGGAUGGCCCGGGUUCGAUUCCCGGUGGGAGAG